UUCUCCGUAGGGUGAACCUGCGGAGGGAUCAUUACCGAGUUUACAACUCCCAAACCCAAUGUGAACGUUACCAAACUGUUGCCUCGGCGGGAUCUCUGCCCCGGGUGCGUCGCAGCCCCGGACCAAGGCGCCCGCCGGAGGACCAACCAAAACUCUUUUUGUAUACCCCCUCGCGGGUUUUUUUUAUAAUCUGAGCCUUCUCGGCGCCUCUCGUAGGCGUUUCGAAAAUGAAUCAAAACUUUCAACAACGGAUCUCUUGGUUCUGGCAUCGAUGAAGAACGCAGCGAAAUGCGAUAAGUAAUGUGAAUUGCAGAAUUCAGUGAAUCAUCGAAUCUUUGAACGCACAUUGCGCCCGCCAGUAUUCUGGCGGGCAUGCCUGUCCGAGCGUCAUUUCAACCCUCGAACCCCUCCGGGGGGUCGGCGUUGGGGAUCGGCCCUGCCUCUUGGCGGUGGCCGUCUCCGAAAUACAGUGGCGGUCUCGCCGCAGCCUCUCCUGCGCAGUAGUUUGCACACUCGCAUCGGGAGCGCGGCGCGUCCACAGCCGUUAAACACCCAACUUCUGAAAUGUUGACCUCGGAUCAGGUAGGAAAACCCCGCAA
rnacentral:rRNA from 1 species